rnacentral:tRNA from 1 species
GCUUCGUGGUGUAGUGGUCAGCACGCUCGGCGCGUAUUCGAGAGGUCCGUGGUUCGAUUCCCGGCGAGAGCA